GAUGAACGCUGGCGGCGUGCCUAAUACAUGCAAGUCGAGCGAACGGACGAGAAGCUUGCUUCUCUGAUGUUAGCGGCGGACGGGUGAGUAACACGUGGAUAACCUACCUAUAAGACUGGGAUAACUUCGGAAAACCGGAGCUAAUACCGGAUAAUAUUUUGAACCGCAUGGUUCAAAAGUGAAAGACGGUCUUGCUGUCACUUAUAGAUGGAUCCGCGCUGCAUGAGCUAGUUGGUAAGGUAACGGCUUACCAAGGCAACGAUGCAUAGCCGACCUGAGAGGGUGAUAGGCCACACGGGAACUGAGACACGGUCCAGACUCCUACGGGAGGCAGCAGUAGGGAAUCUUCCGCAAUGGGCGAAAGCCUGACGGAGCAACGCCGCGUGAGUGAUGAAGGUCUUCGGAUCGUAAAACUCUGUUAUUAGGGAAGAACAUAUGUGUAAGUAACUGUGCACAUCUUGACGGUACCUAAUCAGAAAGCCACGGCUAACUACGUG
rnacentral:rRNA from 1 species